GACGAACGCUGGCGGCGUGCCUAAUACAUGCAGGUCGAACGCUUCUUUCCUCCCGAGUGCUUGCACUCAAUUGGAAAGAGGAGUGGCGGACGGGUGAGUAACACGUGGGUAACCUACCCAUCAGAGGGGGAUAACACUUGGAAACAGGUGCUAAUACCGCAUAACAGUUUAUGCCGCAUGGCAUAAGAGUGAAAGGCGCUUUCGGGUGUCGCUGAUGGAUGGACCCGCGGUGCAUUAGCUAGUUGGUGAGGUAACGGCUCACCAAGGCCACGAUGCAUAGCCGACCUGAGAGGGUGAUCGGCCACACUGGGACUGAGACACGGCCCAGAAUCCUACGGGAGGCAGCAGUAGGGAAUCUUCGGCAAUGGACGAAAGUCUGACCGAGCAACGCCGCGUGAGUGAAGAAGGUUUUCGGAUCGUAAAACUCUGUUGUUAGAGAAGAACAAGGACGUUAGUAACUGAACGUCCCCUGACGGUAUCUAACCAGAAAGCCACGGCUAACUACGUG
rnacentral:rRNA from 1 species